rnacentral:rRNA from 1 species
GACGAACGCUGGCGGCGUGCUUAACACAUGCAAGUCGAACGGAAAGGCCCUGCUUUUGUGGGGUGCUCGAGUGGCGAACGGGUGAGUAACACGUGAGUAACCUGCCCUGGACUUUGGGAUGACUUCAGGAAACUGGGGCUAAUACCGGAUAGGAGCUCCUGCUGCAUGGUGGGGGUUGGAAAGUUUCGGCGGUUGGGGAUGGACUCGCGGCUUAUCAGCUUGUUGGGGGGGUAGUGGCUUACCAAGGCUUUGACGGGUAGCCGGCCUGAGAGGGUGACCGGCCCCAUUGGGCCUGGGAUACGGCCCAGACUCCUACGGGAGGCAGCAGUGGGGAAUAUUGCACAAUGGGCGGCAGCCUGAUGCAGCAACGCCGCGUGCGGGAUGACGGCCUUCGGGUUGUAAACCGCUUUCGCCUGUGACGAAGCGUGAGUGACGGUAAUGGGUAAAGAAGCACCGGCUAACUACGU